rnacentral:rRNA from 1 species
GACGAACGCUGGCGGCGUGCUUAACACAUGCAAGUCGAACGGAAAGGCCCUGCUUUUGUGGGGUGCUCGAGUGGCGAACGGAUUAGUAACACGUGAGUAACCUGCCCUUGACUUUGGGAUAACUUCAGGAAACUGGGGCUAAUACCGGAUAGGAGCUCCUGCUGCAUGAUGGGGGUUGGAAAGUUUCGGCGGUUGGGGAUGGACUCGCGGCUUAUCAGCUUGUUGGUGGGGUAGUGGCUUACCAAGGCUUUGGCGGGUAGCCGUCCUGAGAGGGUGACCGGCCACAUUGGGACUGAGAGAGGGCCCAGACUCCUACGGGAGGCAGAAGUGGGGAAUAUUGUACAAUGGGCGGAAGCCUGAGGCAGCAACGCCGCGUGCGGGAUGACGGCCUUCGGGUUGUAAACCGCUUUCGCCUGUGACGAAGCGUGAGUGACGGUAAUGGGUAAAGAAGCACCGGCUAACUACGUG